CAGAGGGGAGUUGGGAACUGCUAAGGGGUUCUGAGCACUGAAGUAACCUGACGUGAUGAUUGUUCUCAAAGGGGUCUUCUGGCUGUUGUGGGAGAAUAGACUCCCGUGAAAGGCUACAGGUGCCCUUCAGCUCCUAGGACUUGUCUUACUUCCCAGGCUGGUGGCUCGCAACGCGGUUUUUUUCUCCAUUCCAUGAACAUCGCCAUCUGAAUUUCUGUUUCUUCAGAUGGAGCAAUGCUCCGGGGAUGCUACUGCAGACCUUAAAGUCAGGAUACAGUUUUCUUGUUAUUAAUUAUAUACAGAAAGCCAAUAUCCCCUUGGAGGAGACGCCCCUGUCACCUGUGGCUUAUUUGAGAUCCAGCAUGUCAACCACAGGCCACGGUUACGAUCCACCAGCUGCUUAUGCCUAUCUGUGUGAAGAACUAACCUGGAGUCUACACCUCUGACCUGAUCAUCAGCAUCUCCCUUCAACUCAGCUGCCACUCGGUCCCCAUGGCAUACACACACACACACACA